UACGGAGGAUGCAAGCGUUAUCCGGAAUGAUUGGGCGUAAAGCGUCCGCAGGUGGCUGUGUAAGUCUGUCGUCAAAGACCGGGGCUUAACCCUGGAAAGGCGAUGGAAACUGAAAGGCUAGAGAGAGGUAGGGGUAGAGGGAAUUCCCAGUGUAGCGGUGAAAUGCGUAGAGAUUGGGAAGAACAUCGGUGGCGAAAGCGCUCUACUGGACCUCAUCUGACACUCAGGGACGAAAGCUAGGGGAGCGAAUGGG
rnacentral:rRNA from 1 species